rnacentral:rRNA from 1 species
AUUGGACGCUGGCGGCAGGCCUAACACAUGCAAGUCGAACGGUAACAGGAAGCAGCUUGCUGCUUCGCUGACGAGUGGCGGACGGGUGAGUAAUGUCUGGGAAACUGCCUGAUGGAGGGGGAUAACUACUGGAAACGGUAGCUAAUACCGCAUAACGUCGCAAGACCAAAGAGGGGGACCUUAGGGCCUCUUGCCAUCGGAUGUGCCCAGAUGGGAUUAGCUAGUAGGUGGGGUAACGGCUCACCUAGGCGACGAUCCCUAGCUGGUCUGAGAGGAUGACCAGCCACACUGGAACUGAGACACGGUCCAGACUCCUACGGGAGGCAGCAGUGGGGAAUAUUGCACAAUGGGCGCAAGCCUGAUGCAGCCAUGCCGCGUGUAUGAAGAAGGCCUUCGGGUUGUAAAGUACUUUCAGCGGGGGGGAAGGGAGUAAAGUUAAUACCUUUGCUCAUUGACGUUACCCGCAGAAGAAGCACCGGCUAACUCCGUGCCAGCAGCCGCGGUAAUACGGAGGGUGCAAGCGUUAAUCGGAAUUACUGGGCGUAAAGCGCACGCAGGCGGUUUGUUAAGUCAGAUGUGAAAUCCCCGGGCUCAACCUGGGAACUGCAUCUGAUACUGGCAAGCUUGAGUCUCGUAGAGGGGGGUAGAAUUCCAGGU